UACGAAGGGGGCUAGCGUUGCUCGGAAUUACUGGGCGUAAAGCGCGUGUAGGUGGCUUGUUAAGUCGGGUGUGAAAUCCCUCGGCUCAACCGAGGAAGUGCAUUCGAUACUGGCAAGCUCGAGUACCGGAGAGGGUCGUGGAAUUCCUGGUGUAGAGGUGAAAUUCGUAGAUAUCAGGAGGAACACCGGCGGCGAAGGCGGCGACCUGGACGAGUACUGACACUCAGACGCGAAAGCGUGGGGAGCAAACAGG
rnacentral:rRNA from 1 species